UCUCAUGAUAUCGCCCAGCAACUACUCCACUGCUCUAGUCUCUGAAUUCCUCCUCAUCUGCUUCCCUAACUACCAGAGUUGGCAGCACUGGCUGUCCCUGCCCCUCAGCCUCCUCUUCCUCCUGGCCAUGGGGACCAGCCACCCUCUUGAUCACCAUCUGGCUGGAGGUCUCUCUGCACAAGCCCAUGGACCACCUGCUCAGCCUACUCUCCCUGUUGGAUAUUGUGCUCUGCCUGUCAUCCCUAAGGUCCUGGCCAUCUUCUGGUUUGAUCUCAGGUCCAUCAGCUUCUCAGCCUGCUUCCUCCAGAUGUUCAUCAUGAAUAGCUUCCUCCCCAUGGAGUCCUGCACAUUCAUGGUCAUGGCCUGUGACCGCUAUGUGGCCAUCUGCCACCCACUGCGAUACCCAUCCAUCAUCACUGACCAAUUUGUGGCCAAGGCUAACGUCUUCAUUGUCACCCAAAAUGCCAUUCUCACUGCACCUAUUCCUAUUCUCACUGCUCGACUCCAUUAUUGUGGGAAAAAUGUCAUUGAGAACUGCAUCUGUGCCAACUUGUCCAUGUCCAGGCUCUCCUGUGACAAUUUCACCCUUAACAGAAUCUACCAAUAUGUGGCUGGUUGGGCUUUACUGGGGUCAGAUUUCAUCCUCCUCUUCCUCUCUUACACCUUCAUCCUAAGAGCCGUGCUUAGGUUCAAGGCUGAGGGGGCUGCUGUCAAAGCCCUGAGCACAUGGCGGCUCCCACUUCAUCCUUAUCCUGUUCUUCAGCACCAUCCUGCUGGUUGUUGUGUUGACAAAUGUGGCCUGAAAGAGGGUCCCCAUGGACAUCCUCAUCUUGCUCAAUGUCCUUCAUCACCUCAUACCUCCUGCCUUGAACCCUAUUGUAUAUGGAUUUCGAACCAAAGAGUUAAAGCAGGGGUGUCAGAAGUUAUUGUGGAAGGGGCUUUGAAUA